GUGAGCUCGGACACCCUGCCCGGGGCCAGGCUCGGAGAAGCCGGCAGACCGGAGCACUACCGGGACGGGAGAACCGGGCGGAAGCGCUCUAGUUCCGGGCUGGGCCGGAAGCGCUGAGCCGGAGAUACAAAGGUUGAGUAAAAUCUUUACUCAAAAGUACAAAGAGUCACGUGGUAGCACAUGCCUGUAAUUCAAGUCCUCAAAAGAUGGAGGCAGAUGGAUUGACACAAGCCUGAGACAGAUCAGGAUUCUCCAAAGUAAUAGAACCAACAAAAAGAAAGAACAGAAGAAGAAGGAGAGGACCAGGAGAAAGAGGCGGAGGAGAGAAGAGAAAGAGGAAAGGAGAAAAGUGGAGAAUCCUCCUUCCACCUGUGAAGCCCUAGAAUGAGGUGAUGUGCCACACCAGACCCAAAGUCGGGUCUCAAGGGGUUGGAGAAAGACUGCCUGAGUAUCCUGCCAUCACUGUGGACAGAACAGACUCAGGCAUGUCUGCUGGGCUCAGGAGACAGCAAGGCAGACAUCAAGUCCUGCAAAGGAUGGCGGACAGACUGUACAACCGCCCUGGACCUUGCAUCCCCGGAUGAAGAGAGACAGUGUGAAGAGGGUGUGACAAUGAGGUUAAAAAGUGAAGAGAUACAUGGUUGAUGCCGCGGGAAAUGGCCCUGGACAGACUCGCCAGCUGGAAUGCGGUGUCUCCAGCCGGAGCAGUGAGCCGCCUCCGCCUCGGCUUCCUUCGUUCCUUACUGCCCACGCUGGGAACUGCACGUUACGGUUCUUAAAAACUCAACUAUAACAGAGGCUUUCGGGCUGAGGUUGUCAACUCUGAGAGCUGAUGUAGCCAAGGACAACAUUGAAUGACUUUCCGGUUCUCUCCAACCUCCAUCUCUUGAAUUCUGCCAUUACAGCUCCGCCACCCCCGGCUUAUGCAAACUGAGGUCUGAACUCCAGGUCUGGUGCAUGCUUCACAAGCCUCUUCCAAAUGAGCUGCAUCCCCAGCUCAUGCCCCCUCCCCAGCCCCAGACUCCUCUCAGCAUGGAUUUACCAACGCUCUACUUGUAUGAAAUGUCCAGAAGUCACUCUAAUGCUCGCAGGUGGGAACAGCUUCUUUCUCCAUGACACUCUAAGUCAUCUCGCACACAGUAAGGGCGAGUGCCUGGCUCGGGACACUUGUGAAGACCCCAUUCUGCAAUUGUCGCUUCAGCGCCCACCACAAUGCCAGACACGGGCCGCACCUCAGUCGUGUAUGGUGAACAAUUCCGGGAAAACGUUUGUCUGUCUUUUCCACAGCACCCCUAUCGGCCCCAUACCAGGCUUCUAGCUAAUUAGGACAGAAACUAAUUUCAGGUAAAUAAUGCAUGUCAAACUUGGGAGGAGUAUUUGCUUUACACAUUCCUGGACUGUAAGUUUCUGGCUUUGACCUUUUUUUUUUUUUUUCAGUAUCCUUUUUGCCUUUAACCAAAACUUUUCCACCGGGUCUCCUGGCCCACGUGACCUCCAAUCAGGUCACUAGCCUGCACCUGUGCCUUUCAGGUCAGAUUCAAAAUUCCCAGAAGAAUGUAGUUAAUCCACUCCCGCGAACACUGCUUGGUUACUAAUUCUCAUCUUGUCAGCUGUGGCCAGGUGAUGGGGUAAAGGUGGCCAUGAGCUGUGACUUCCGAGGUGUGGGUGGUUGGUGAGUCGGGGAGGGGUAAGGUACCCUCCCCUCUUUUAACGCAUUCUGUAACGUGAGGGUCUUGAUCCACAGAAUCUGCCUGUGGUGGUGUUUGGGUAUUGCAAAUAGUGGAGUUCCAGAGUUCGGUACGGAGCAGAACUCUGCAUAUAAUAUUUAUCAUUAUUGCUUUUGCCAGUGUCUCUUUGUGUUUUGUUUUGUUUUGUUUUGUUUUUGAAUCUGGUUCUCAUAUGUCUCAAGCUGGCCUCAAACCUUCUGUGACCAAGGAUCCAAGAAUGACUUUGGACUUUUGAUCCUCCUGCCUCCACUGCAUUUGAACUUCGACUCUUCAUGCUGCCACCUCCUGGGUACUGAGAUAAUAGGGAUGUGCCACCAUAAGGGUUUAUGUGAUGCUGGGUUAGAACCCAGGGCUCUGUGCUUACUAGGGAAACACUCUUGGCUACAUACAUCUCAAGCCCCCUUAAAACAUUUUUAAGUUAACAAAAUACUCCUCUGCUAUAAAGAUAUGAGACUGUCCCAGAAAACAUUUCAAAAAGGUCUAACUUAUUCAUUCUGCUUCCCAAAGCUGGGACAACAGAUGAGGCAUUGUUCAUGUGAGAUCCUCAAGGAGAAAGUUUGGUGAACUUUGUGACCUGGCAUGCUACUACACACUUGUCCAGCAGGUGGCAGGCUUCUCAAACAUAAAUGCCUCUGGGAAACCAACACGGAAACCCUCAGAGCGGACUAUACAGCAGUCUUUUUUCUUUCAGAAAUCCAGUAUUACCUUUAAGAAAUCUGAGAAAUUUAAAAAAAAAAAAUGCUUUUAUGGUCUGAGGAAAUCCCUGACUGUGUGACCACAGUGACUUCUUGUCACCUGCCAGGUCCGGUCAGCUGCAAGCUAGUGAAGUUAGCAAAGCCCGUGGUAUCAGUAUUUAAUAUUAAUGGCGAGGCCAUGGGGAAAAGCCAGAGAACGCUCAGAAGGGCCCUGUUCUGAAACACACCCUGAAAAAGAGUGAAUAUAUUUGCUCCUAUAAAAAAGACUGGCAUAGCCGGGCGGUGGUGGCGCACGCCUUUAAUCCCAGCACUUGGGAGGCAGAGGCAGGCCGAUAUCUGUGAGUUCGAGGCCAGCCCAGUCUACAAGGGGGUUCUAGGCCUGUCAAAAGAGAAACCCUGUCU